rnacentral:misc_RNA from 1 species
UUUCACUUUCAAAUAUGCUUCCAAAAUCUCUCUCCUUUCCCAUUCUCUCUUUUCAAAUACACUCGUAUUGAAGACAUUUCCUUCUUGCUUUAAUAUUGUUUUAUAAUCUCUUAUGGUUGUUGUUCAUUAUGCUAUUUAAAGUUGGUCUGCAUAGUCUUGUAUCAUUGAAUUUUUAAAGAAUGUGAGUGGUACUGCCGUGAAAUGGAUGUUUUCAGUGUAGAUGAGGAUGAAGAUGCUACUAAGAAAAGACAGAAUGGGAUUUCUUGGCCACCUCCACAUGCUAAUGUCCGACACAGACGUUCCAAGAGUGCAUCUGAGAGGAACCUGGAGGUUUCAAGAGGUGGAGCUUUGCGUUCCAUAAAGAAGGACCAGAAUGGAACACAUGUCAGACUGCAUAUUUCAUCUACAUCAAAUUUGUAUUAAAUUUCAUGUUAUCCUCUUUACUUGCAAGCAUGGCAUGGUUAAAACUCUUGAUAAAGAACAUAGCUGAGAAUGAGAUAACUCACCAUUAGUUUUUUCCACUGAAUCUAACAGAUGUCACCACUUUCAACAAGGGCUUUUAGGACACAAAGUCCUCUCCGUGACCAUCCUACUUGUACAAAUAAAAAUACAUCAUCAAACCAUCGAGCCUCUUUGGAAAAAGAUAUUGACCUGCUGCAACUACGGUUGCAACAAGAGAAAUCUAUGCGCAUGAUGCUCGAGAGAGCAAUGGGCCGGGCUUCAAGUACUUUAUCUCCAGGACAUAGACAUUUUGCUAAUCAGACAAAGGAGUUGAUUGCAGAGAUUGAGUUACUGGAAGAAGAGGUCACAAACCGUGAGCAGCAUGUACUCUCUCUGUAUCGGAGUAUUUUUGAAAAUUGUGUUAGUCAGGCUCCUUCUGAGCAAAACUCAGGUGUUGCUUCUCCUGCCCAUACAAAGCAAGUAUCCAGGAAACACCCAAGUAUUAUUUCAAGUGCUUUCUGCUCCUCCAAAAAGUUCCCUUUGCGACCUCUGCAAGCUCUAGUUUCUAUCAGUGAGUCAGGGAAGAGAUCCUCCAAGGCUAGUGAUUCUCCAUCAUUCCUUGGGAAAAGCAACGUUCAUUUUGAGAAGACUUGUUUUGACCGGAUCAGGGCGCUUGAGAAGAUUCCUUACAUGGAGAAAACUUCAAUGUUGCGAACUCUAAAAGACCAUCUAUAUCAAUGCCCAAGCAAGUUGUCUGAGGAAAUGGUCAGGUGUAUGGCUGCAGUAUACUGCUGGCUUCAUAGCGCAGCAUCUGUCCCUGGAAAAAACAGAUCACCUAUUUUGUCAAGGUCAUCCACUAAUGUUGUAAUCCCCCGGCACGGUAUUGGAGAGGACCGAGAUUGGUCUUGCAAAUCCAUGGUAGAAGUGUCUUGGAUAUCAACUGAUAGAAGUCAGUUCUCUCACGCAUCUUAUGCCAUCAGUACAUAUAGAGUUCUUGUGGAGCAGCUGGAGAGGGUGACUGUUAGUCAGAUGGAAAACAAUGUUCAAAUUGCGUUUUGGAUCAAUGUGUAUAAUGCCCUUGUUAUGCAUGCAUAUUUAGCAUUUGGAAUCCCCCACAGCUCUCUAAGGAGGUUAGGCUUGUUUCAUAAGGCUGCUUAUAACAUUGAUGGCCACAUCAUUAGUGCAAAUGCUAUAGAGCAGUCAAUCUUUGGUUUCCGCACACCCCGAGUUGGAAAGUGGCUUGAGACCAUCCUUUCUGCUGCAUUGAGGAAGAAAUCCAGUGAAGAAAGGCAACUUAUUAGUUCCAAGUUUGGUCUCUCAGAUGUCCAACCCCUAGUCUGCUUUGCCCUCUGUACUGGAGCUUUUUCUGAUCCUGUGCUAAGAGUCUAUACAGCAUCAAGUGUUAAAGAGGAAUUGGAGGUUGCAAAAAGAGAGUUUCUUCAAACAAAUACAGUUGUGAAGAAGUCAAGGAGAGUGUUUCUACCCAAGUUGAUUGAAAGAUUUGCAAAGGAAGCCUCUAUCAACUCAGAUGAUCUUCUGAAGUGGAUUACCGAAAAUGUUGAUAAGAAACUCCAUGAUUCAAUUCAGAAAUGCAUCGAUAGGAAAUCAAACAAAAAGGCAUCUCACGUCAUAGAAUGGUUACCUUACAGCUCAAGGUUCCAGUAUGUUUUCUCAAAGGAAUUAACAGAGAAGCCAUCGUGGGCAUGAGUUUCUUUCUAAAUGCCUUCCUUGCGGGGGACAAUAUCUCUGUCAGAAGCCAUUCAGUAUUGCUUGGCUUGGGAAAAAAGGACAUUAGUUAUGGGUACUUCUGAUCUACAUUUAUUGUCCAUCUGAUCUUUGCCCAUUUUAGAUAACACUUUGUAGCCCAUGAAUUUUAAAUUCCUUUGUGACUACUGUAAUAGUAAAUUGACUUGUUCAUUAAUGAGCUCAAUGUCAUAUUUGCAGUUGAAACGUUGAAAAAAGUGGGAUCCCAUACCCCUAGAUCUAAGACAAUAAUUUCUUUGGAACAUUGUACAUUUCCCAGUUUGGGCUGUUAGGGUACAGCACACUCAGUUUUCUUUGGUACUUCAGAAACUUAAA